rnacentral:rRNA from 1 species
GACGAACGCUGGCGGCGUGCCUAAUACAUGCAAGUAGAACGCAGUUGCGAACGGGUGAGUAACGCGUAGGUAACUGCCUCAUAGCGGGGGAUAACUAUUGGAAACGAUAGCUAAUACCGCAUACUGUGAGAUGGAACUGCGUUGUAUUAGCUAGUUGGUGGGGUAAAGGCUCAACAAGGCGAGGAUACAUAGCCGCACUGAGAGGGGGAGCGGCCACACUGGGACUGGGACACGGCCCAGACUCCUACGGGAGGCAGCAGGAGGGGAUCUUCGGCAAUGGGCGGCAGUCUGACCGAGCAACGCCGCGUGAGUGAAGAAGGUUUUCGGGUCGUAAAGCUCUGUUGUGAGAGGAGCGGUAACUAACCAGAAAGGGACGGCUAACUACGUGCCAGCCGCCGCGGUAAUUC